AUUGAACGCUGGCGGCAGGCCUAACACAUGCAAGUCGAGCGGAUGAAGAGAGCUUGCUCUCUGAUUUAGCGGCGGACGGGUGAGUAAUGCCUAGGAAUCUGCCUGGUAGUGGGGGAUAACGUUCCGAAAGGAACGCUAAUACCGCGUACGUCCUACGGGAGAAAGCCGGGGACCUUCGGGCCUUGCGCUAUCAGAUGUGCCUAGGUCGGAUUAGCUAGUUGGUGAGGUAAUGGCUCACCAAGGCGACGAUCCGUAACUGGUCUGAGAGGAUGAUCAGUCACACUGGAACUGAGACACGGUCCAGACUCCUACGGGAGGCAGCAGUGGGGAAUAUUGGACAAUGGGCGAAAGCCUGAUCCAGCCAUGCCGCGUGUGUGAAGAAGGUCUUCGGAUUGUAAAGCACUUUAAGUUGGGAGGAAGGGCAGUAAGUUAAUACCUUGCUGUUUUGACGUUACCGACAGAAUAAGCACCGGCUAACUUCGUGCCAGCCGCCGCCGUAAAAC
rnacentral:rRNA from 1 species